rnacentral:tRNA from 1 species
GCCGAUGUAGCUCAGUUGGCAGAGCAGGGCAUUCGUAAUGCUCAGGUCGGGGGUUCGAAUCCCUCCAUCGGCACCA